AAGGUCGUUAUACUUUGAGGGGGCGCUGUUUUCAUUGGCAAUGAAUAGCCCUUCCGUAGGCUGUUUCAAUGGAGCG
rnacentral:tRNA from 1 species